GGGGGGGGGGGGGGGGGGGGGGGGGGCGGGGGGGGCGGGGGGGGGGGGGCGGGGGGUGGGGGGGGCUGGGGGGGCGGGCGGGUGGGUAGCGCGGGGGUGCCCGGCCCGUGGCUGGGGGGUGACUUGGGGGAACUGGGGCUAGUACCGGAGAGGAGCUCCUGCUGCAUGGUGGGGGGUGGAACGUUUCGGCGGUUGGGGAUGGACUCGCGGCUUAUCAGCUGGUUGGUGGGGGAGUGGCUUACCAAGGCUUUGACGGGUAGCCGGCCUGAGAGGGUGACCGGCCACAUUGGGACUGAGAUACGGCCCAGACUCCUACGGGAGGCAGCAGUGGGGAAUAUUGCACAAUGGGCGGAAGCCUGAUGCAGCAACGCCGCGUGCGGGAUGACGGCCUUCGGGUUGUAAACCGCUUUCGCCUGUGACGAAGCGUGAGUGACGGUAAUGGGUAAAGAAGCACCGGCUAACUACGUG
rnacentral:rRNA from 1 species